CAGGAAUUGGGGGCAGGAGAAGGACACAACAGAUGGAAAUCCAAUAGUCAUGUAGAGCAGAGAAGGAAUCUCAGUGACUCAGCUUUAUCCUCUGGAAGAAAGAAAUCUCAGAUCUCUCUCACUGCUCAUGCCCCCCCCUUUAUUUUAUUUUAUUUUAUUUUUUUGUCUGAUGAUUCUACUGUAAAAUAUGCAACAGCAAAAACAGGUGGAAAAUGUUCUCUGAGCUCCUGCAUUUGAGAAGCCAUUUUCCAGCUCUUGGCAUUCAUGCUGUUAAAAGAAGAGUUCCAGCUACCACUGGCAGGGUGAUGUGUGACCUUCAUGUCUUCCUGAGCGUACCACCUGCAUAUUUCAUUAACUACACAGGUUUUGGCAUCCUGCGGAGGAACAAAUUGCCUUUUUUUUCCCAACACGACAGCAGUUUUCCAUGGCAUUUGAGACAGGAGUUACCACUGUUGUAGGAAAUGCAGAAAAGGAAGAUGUUUGUCUUUGACCUGUUAGAUCAGUGCUCAGAUUCAUGUUUUUCUUAAGGAAUGGCUUGGAAUAAGGGUUGUGACAUGGUCACUAUUCAGUAUUUGCUCAUGUUUCCAGCUUUCCUCUGGGGAAAGCUAUUAUACGUAAUGGAUGCUGCUUCUGAAUGAAGAUGUUCUGGGCCAAAUGCUGCUCUCAACUCUGUCAGUGGAAAUAUGAGUAUUAUAAAGCCCAUGUAAUGAGCAAUUUUACAGUGGUAUAUCUGAGUAAGACUUUGUGCUAUCGAAGUAUGCAGGCACAUUAUGGAAAACAUUAAGUUUUUUUAAUCUGUCUGUAGCUGCCUAUAUCAGCCUAUAUCUGCUAUAUAGAGCAUCCAAAGGAGGGC
ensembl:lncRNA